rnacentral:rRNA from 1 species
CAAGUCGAACGAGGUGGCCCACAGAAUUUGAUAGAAACUUUGAGAGCUUGCUCGAGAAGUGGAAAGAGAAGGACGUGGAAUUUCCACCUAGUGGCAAACGGGUGAGUAACACGUGGGUUACCUACCUCUUAGAUGGGGAUACCAAUUGGAAACGAUUGUUAAUACCGAAUGUGAUCUACGGAUUAAAGGAAGCCUUUAAAGCUUCGCUAAGAGAUGGGCCUGCGGUGCAUUAGAUAGUUGGUGGGGUAAGAGCCUACCAAGUCAACGAUGCAUAGCUGAACUGAGAGGUUGAUCGGCCACACUGGGACUGAGACACGGCCCAGACUCCUACGGGAGACAGCAGUUAGGAAUAUUCGUCAAUGGGGGAAACCCUGAACGAGCAAUGCCGCGUGAACGAUGACGGUCCUCUGGAUUGUAAAGUUCUGUUGUUUGGGAAGAACGGCUCUAAUAGGAAAUGAUUAGAGAUUGACUGUACCAUUCAAGAAAGCCACGGCUAACUACGUGCCAGCAGCCGCGGUAAUACGUAGGUGGCGAGCGUUAUCCGGAUUUAUUGGGCGUAAAGCGUCCGCAGCCGGUUUAUUAAGUAUAGAAUAAAACUUCGGGGCUCAACCCCGUCUCGUUCUAUAAACUGAUAGACUAGAGUGUGGUAGAGGCAAGUGGAAUUUCUAGUGUAGCGGUAGAAUGCGUAGAUAUUAGAAGGAACACCAGUGGCGAAGGCGACUUGCUGGGCCAUCACUGACGGUCAGGGACGAAAGCGUGGGGAGCGAAUAGGAUUAGAUACCCUAGUAGUCCACGCCGUAAACGAUGAGCACUAAGUGUCGGGCAACCGGUGCUGAAG